AGCUUUAAUAAUAUAUAUUAAAAUUGUUGCAGUUAAAAAGCUCGUAGUUGCAUUUCUAUUAAUGGGAAAUUAGUUUAUUUUGUAAUUAAAUUAAUUUAUUACUUUUAAUAAAUUAAAAAAAACGAUUUCAAUAAUUAAGUGUAAAGCGUAGUUUUUAAUUUUUACUUUAAAAAAAUUAGAGUUCUUUAAGUAGGUGUCUAAGCUUUGAAUAAGGUAGUAUGGAAUAUUAAAAUAUAAUGUUGGUUUUAUUUUGUUGAUUUCUAGAACCAAAGUUUUAAAUAAUAAGGAUAGUUGGGGGUAUUUGUAUUUAACUGCAAGGGGUGAAAUUCUUAGAUUUGUUGAAGAUAAACUAAUGUGAAAGCAUUUGCCAAAAAUAUUUCUAUUA
rnacentral:rRNA from 1 species